ACGGGUGAGUAACGCGUGGGAAUCUACCCAUCUCUACGGAACAACUCCGGGAAACUGGAGCUAAUACCGUAUACGUCCUUCGGGAGAAAGAUUUAUCGGAGAUGGAUGAGCCCGCGUUGGAUUAGCUAGUUGGUGGGGUAAUGGCCUACCAAGGCGACGAUCCAUAGCUGGUCUGAGAGGAUGAUCAGCCACACUGGGACUGAGGCACGGCCCAGACUCCUACGGGAGGCAGCAGUGGGGAAUAUUGGACAAUGGGCGCAAGCCUGAUCCAGCCAUGCCGCGUGAGUGAUGAAGGCCCUAGGGUUGUAAAGCUCUUUCAACGGUGAAGAUAAUGACGGUAACCGUAGAAGAAGCCCCGGCUAACUUCGUGCCAGCAGCCGCGGUAAUACGAAGGGGGCUAGCGUUGUUCGGAAUUACUGGGCGUAAAGCGCACGUAGGCGGAUACUUAAGUCAGGGGUGAAAUCCCGGGGCUCAACCCCGGAACUGCCUUUGAUACUGGGUAUCUCGAGUCCGGAAGAGGUGAGUGGAAUUCCGAGUGUAGAGGUGAAAUUCGUAGA
rnacentral:rRNA from 1 species